GUUCAGCCUCGCCUGGGCUGGAAAAACAAGCGUCUCUGUGCUUAGACGGAAUAUAGCUCUUGAAUAGCCGCCACGCGCCGCAGGUGGAAUAGGGCUUUCACAUUUAAACAAGGUACCAGUUGAAAUUCGCUAUUCCGGGCCGAUUCGCUCCACACCACUAAAUACAAACUAAGCCAAUUAUAUUUAGUGUCUUCUAUCAACCCAACUUUUCACUUGACCAGCACAAGGAGGUGGCGGCAGCUUUUCGGAAGCGGCAGAAGAUCCUUUGAGGCUUCCCAGGGCAGAACACGCCACACCCGGGGCGGUAUCCUCUCUGUCCGGCGACCGUCCUAAAUGCCCGGGCAAUCGCAUCCGAUCCGCCCAGAGAAAUCCCCUGCAAUUUGCGGAGGGGGAUAAAUGCAGAAGACCCGUUGACGGACAUAUCCGAGAGCCAAGCAUAUGAGAUAAAAAAAAAGAGAAGAAAAUGAAGAGUCUGGCAAUCUCAGAGAGACUUCAGAGAGUUUAAGUGGCUAUUUCCAGCCUUGAAUCCCCUGUAUUGUCCCCGCAAUCCUAAAUAUUAGAUCGGUACCCAAGAAAACCGCAUCUGAAAUAUGUGCACGGCCUGUGUAAAGGUGUUUGUUGCUUGAAGAGAAAGUAAAGGUGAAGCGUGCCUUAAAUACCUGCGGGAUUUUCUAUUCCCCCAGUUCUAAUGAAGCAGGCUUUCCGGUCUCACAGCACUCUUCGUCUCCAAGUACUGCUGUGUAGUUGGCCUAAGCAGAAAACCGGCCUUGUCCGCUUUACGGUGAAUAAUCCCCCCACCCCCUUCUUGACUGGGCGGCAGCAGGAAUUACUAACCGGAGCGGCCGCAGUAAAAAGCUAUUUAAUCUCCCCUGGCUGAAUUUCAGUGACUGCCAGCGACGAUUACCUGUGGUUUUGUUUCAAAAUUAAACCCCGAACAGGCUCUUCUACUUUCGGAGGCGAUUUAAGCAGGCCGGCCACCCCGAAGUUUCAUCGCUAAUUCACCUGGGGUGGGAAACGGCGAGGCGAAGAGCGGGGCGCCGGGGAGCCGGAUUUUUCUCCUCAAGGUGAUCUUUGACUUAUGCCGCCGUGUGGUUUUUUUUUUUUUUUCUCCCCAAUUUCAUGGCGGUAAAGGCUGGCUGGACAAUUCUUAGGCUCCCUUAACUGCCUGAGCUUUACUUUCGAGUAAACAAGCCUAGGAAGGGGCAGGAAAAGAAGCCUGGGUUAGCAAUGGGGUGCGGUUUUGGUUUUUUUCGCUCUGCCUGUGGGGUAAUCGGGCAACGAAGAGUAAUGUGAACUUCAGAUCUCCUGAGCGUUUACUUCGUUGAAAAAUAUGGUUUUUGAGAUGCAUUAUUUUUAAAAGAACCUCACUUUUAAAAGGCUUGUACAAAUAGAUUGUUGAUUUGCCCAGGCCUUAGGAUGGAGGUGCAGUCGGAUAAAAAGCACUCUGCGACUGCUCAGAAACACCAUCUAUUGUCGAUCACCCUCUAAUCAUUGUUCAUAGAUUUAAACACUCUGUGCUAAGGGCUGCGUUCACAUAUCAGGUCGAAAUGUGCUUUCGCACAGAGAGGUUUUCGCAGCCAACUAUGGUUUGUAAACUGAUUUAUUCCUUAGCCCAUUGGCGAAUUGUUGCUUAUUUAACAAAUCAUUGUUAACUGAACUGUGGUUUAGCUUAA